UCCCCUGUGGCUCAGCUGGGUAAAGAAUCUGCAUGCAAAGCAGGAGACCUGGGUUCAAUCCCCAGGUUGGGAA
rnacentral:tRNA from 1 species